UACGAAGGGGGGCGAGCGUUGUUCGGAAUUACUGGGCGUAAAGGGCGCGUAGGCGGCGAACCAAGUCAGAUGUGAAAGUCCUGGGCUUAACCUGGGGGACUGCAUUUGAUACUGGUUUGCUUGAAUUCGGGAGAGGAUAGCGGAAUUCCCAGUGUAGAGGUGAAAUUCGUAGAUAUUGGGAAGAACACCGGUGGCGAAGGCGGCUAUCUGGACCGACAUUGACGCUGAGGCGCGAAAGCGUGGGGGAGCAAACAGG
rnacentral:rRNA from 1 species